GUAUUUAGGUUGAUGCAAAAGUAAUCGCGGUUUUUGUCAUUACUUUUAAUGGCAAAAGCCGCGAUAACUUUUGCACCAAUCUAAUACAA
rnacentral:miRNA from 10 species